rnacentral:rRNA from 1 species
UACGUAGGGGGCGAGCGUUGUCCGGAUUCAUUGGGCGUAAAGCGCGCGCAGGCGGCUUCGUAAGUCGGCCGUGAAAUCUCCAGGCUCAACUUGGAGGGGUCGGGCGAGACUGCGGAGCUCGAGGCAGGUAGAGGGCGGUGGAAUUCCGGGUGUAGUGGUGGAAUGCGUAGAGAUCCGGAAGAACACCAGUGGCGAAGGCGGCCGCCUGGGCCUGACCUGACGCUGAGGCGCGAAAGCGUGGGGAGCGAUC